UACGUAGGGUGCGAGCGUUAAUCGGAAUUACUGGGCGUAAAGCGUGCGCAGGCGGUUAUGUAAGACAGUUGUGAAAUCCCCGGGCUCAACCUGGGAAUUGCAUCUGUGACUGCAUAGCUAGAGUACGGUAGAGGGGGAUGGAAUUCCGCGUGUAGCAGUGAAAUGCGUAGAGAUGCGGAGGAACACCGAUGGCGAAGGCAGCCCCCUGGGCUAGCACUGACGCUCAGGCACGAAAGCGUGGGGAGCAAACAGG
rnacentral:rRNA from 1 species